rnacentral:lncRNA from 11 species
AGACCUCAGUGGAGGUAGAUUGCAUGUAUGCUUAUGGACUUCAACCUUGAAAUAAGCAUUCCCAGGUUGGUAGGAAUGGUGCCAGUUUCCAUCAGUAUUCCCAAGCCAUGAAAAGGUUUUGCAUGAGAAACUUUCCUGGAAGAGAUACA